GAUCCUGGCUCAGGACGAACGCUGGCGGCGUGCUUAACACAUGCAAGUCGAACGAGAAGAGAUGAGAAGCUUGCUUCUUAUUGAUUCGAGUGGCAAACGGGUGAGUAACGCGUAAGCAACCUGCCCUUCAGAUGGGGACAACAGCUGGAAACGGCUGCUAAUACCGAAUACGUUCUUUUUGUCGCAUGGCAGAGGGAAGAAAGGGAGGCUCUUCGGAGCUUU
rnacentral:rRNA from 1 species